UGGGGAAUUUUGCGCAAUGGGGGAAACCCUGACGCAGCGACGCCGCGUGGAGGAUGAAGGCCUUCGGGUUGUAAACUCCUUUUGUCGGGGACGAUAGUGACGGUACCCGGCGAAUAAGCCACGGCUAACUCUGUGCCAGCAGCCGCGGUAAGACAGAGGUGGCAAGCGUUGUUCGGAAUUACUGGGCUUAAAGGGCGCGUAGGCGGCGAUGUAAGUCCGAUGUGGAAUCCUUCGGCUUAACCGGAGAAUUGCAUUGGAAACUGCGUUGCUUGAGUCAGCGAGGGGAGGGCGGAAUUCCUGGUGUAGCAGUGAAAUGCGUAGAUAUCAGGAGGAAGGCCGGUGGCGAAGGCGGCCCUCUGGCGCUAGACUGACGCUGAGGCGCGAAAGCGUGGGGAGCAAACAGG
rnacentral:rRNA from 1 species